UACGGAGGGGGCUAGCGUUGUUCGGAAUUACUGGGCGUAAAGCGCGUGUAGGCGGGUCCUUAAGUCGGGGGUGAAAGCCCGGGGCUCAACCUCGGAACUGCCUUCGAUACUGAGGACCUGGAGACUGGGAGAGGUGAGCGGAAUUUCGAGUGUAGAGGUGAAAUUCGUAGAUAUUCGGAGGAACACCAGAGGCGAAGGCGGCUCACUGGACCAGUACUGACGCUGAGACGCGAAAGCGUGGGGAGCGAACAGG
rnacentral:rRNA from 1 species